rnacentral:rRNA from 1 species
AUUGAACGCUGGCGGCAGGCCUAACACAUGCAAGUCGAACGAGUGGCGGACGGGUGAGUAAUGUCUGGGAAACUGCCUGAUGGAGGGGGAUAACUACUGGAAACGGUAGCUAAUACCGCAUACCAUCGGAUGUGCCCAGAUGGGAUUAGCUAGUAGGUGGGGUAAAGGCUCACCUAGGCGACGAUCCCUAGCUGGUCUGAGAGGAUGACCAGCAAAACUGGAACUGGGAAACGGUCCAGACUCCUCCGGGAGGCAGCAGUGGGGAAUAUUGCACAAGGGGCGAAAGCCUGAUGCAGAAAUGCCGCGUGUAGGAAGCAGGCUUUCGGGUUGUAAAGUACUUUCAGCGGGGAGGCGUUACCCGCAGAAGAAGCACCGGCUAACUCCGUGCCAGCAGCCGCGGUAAUUC